GACUUCCACUGACGAAAUUACAUUGCCGUGGCGACGCUGCCUUGUUAGCAAGCGAGUAACAGAAAGACUCAACUAAGUCUCAUGCCGAUGCCGAUAGCGAAAUCAAGCCUCCGAUCCGUCGCCUCCCUUUGCAGCCGCGCGGCCAAGUUCGGCACCAGGAGCUUCUCCUCUGCCGCUUGUUAUGACGAAGCCUAUGAAGCGGAGAAAUGGGAGAAGAUCUCGAUCGCGGGAAUCGUCACCUGCGCUGUUCUCUCCAUCUAUAAUCUGUCCAAGGGCCAUCACGAGCAUCCCGAGCCUCCGCCUUACCCAUAUCUCCGCAUCCAGAAGAAGGAUUUCCCUUGGGUGAAUGGAUACUGCUACUUGAGUGCUUACAAUCUGGAGCUACUUCUCAGCUACAUCUUCUGCUGAAAAUUCCUCGUCGCAUACAACAGCUGACAGCAAGCACUGACGCAAAUUCUGAUGUAAACCUCUUCCUUCACAGUGCUCAACAUACCACAUUCGCUCCUGAUAAAGAUCCCUGACUCUGCUGCAAGUACAUCUGAAAACAUAGACAUUAUUAUAGUUGGUCCAGAACCCCUCACAGAGCACAUCAAAAAGAAGUCCUCCAAGCAGUAGCAUACCUUUACAAGGAUGCUUACAUCCACAACAAUUACUGCCUAGCUUUAAUAAGAUAUUUGGUGAAAUAAAGAAGGAUAUAUAUAUAGGUCUGAAAAUAUAUGAUCUGUUGUAAUAGCAUGAUAAAAAAUUGUAUUGAAUUUGAUUGUUAAGAUGUCUGGUAGACUUGAACUGUUGGGGAAACAUCGGAUACAUUUUAUGUUUUA